rnacentral:lncRNA from 1 species
AGCACUUAAUGUUUUAUCAAAAGUCAUAAACUUAGGGUUUAGAGUUAAAAGGUGGGGUUUAGGAUUUAAGGUUUAGGGUUUAGGGUUUAGGGUUUAGAAUUUAGGGUUUAGGGUUUAAAUUUUAGAGUUUAGGGUUUAGAGUUUAAGGUUUAUGGUUUAGAGUUUAGGGUUUAGGGUUUAAAAUUUAGGGUUUAGGGUUUAGAGUUUACGGUUUAGGGUUUAGAGUUGAGAAAUGAGGUUUUGGGUUUAAGAUUUCAAAUUUUGAAAAAUAAAAAAAUUAAAAUUUUCAAAGGAUAAAUUUAGAAAGGUGCUAUUUUGGUCAUUUUAGUUUUUGAAUGCUAUUUUUGUGAUAUAAACUUAGAAAUAUGCUAUUUUGG